GGCUGUUAAUCUAGAGGCUGGAGUACAAAGAAGUGGCACAAUGAUGUGGGCUGAUGACAUUUAUAAUUAUCAAGGAAUCACCCCUACAUUCGCUCAGAAUUUUAAUGAAACUGUCCCUUGGGAAGGAAGAACUGAUACCUUGAUAUCACGGUUUGUACAUCCUAUAUAUACGACAAAUUUUAGAACAUUAUAUAACGAAGAACCAGAUCGUCGUGGCCAUGUGAUGUGAAUAAAAGGACUUGAAUUUGAUGAUAUUUUUAUAAUGUUAGAUAACAUAACUAAGUAUCUUCACAGUAAGAUAGGAUGACAUGGUUUACAUGAUCUUAAUGUUGUUCACUCGAGUGAUGAUAUUAUAAGGAAAAGUGUAAUAUCACAGGAUAUUUAUGUUUAGUAACCAGUAAUUCAGAGAUUGGUAUUCAUGGUUACUAUAACGAGGCUGUAGAAACGCACCCUUUCUUCUUUGCAAAUGGUCCUGUAUUUAUGUCUAAGCCGAAACUGGAACCUCUGAAUAAUUUAGAUUUAUUCUUGUUAUUUUCUAAAAUACUUAUCUACAGUAUACCAUAAGGAAUGAUACCGUAUCGCACCUAAUCAAGUGCCUUAAGAAACAUCAACAGGAUAUCACAGUAAUCCCUUAUCGACUGAUAUUUGUAGCCACUACAAUAUCUAUGACACUGGUAGUAAUUAUAAGAACAAUAAUGAUGUUCUAUAAGAGGAAAUGAUGAUUAGGAACAAAAACUUACAGGAGAUAUCAUGCGGUGGAUGGAUAAUAUGUAAAAAAUAUUAAGCAGUAUAUGAAUUUUCAUAUUGCGUAGAGAUAACAAAAUGAAUUUUAAAAAAUGUCGACAUGGUAAUAAGAAAUAGCAU